CCUACGGGAUGCACCAGUGGGGAAUAUUGGACAAUGGGCGAAAGCCUGAUCCAGCAAUGCCGCGUGUGUGAAGAAGGUCUUCGGAUUGUAAAGCACUUUCGACGGGGACGAUGAUGGCGGUACCCGUAGAAGAAGCCCCGGCUAACUUCGUGCCAGCAGCCGCGGUAAUACGAAGGGGGCUAGCGUUGUUCGGAAUUACUGGGCGUAAAGCGCGCGUAGGCGGAUAGAUAAGUCAGAGGUGAAAUCCCGGGGCUCAACCCCGGAAUUGCCUUUGAUACUGUUUAUCUUGAGUGCAGAAGAGGUAAGUGGAAUUCCGAGUGUAGAGGUGAAAUUCGUAGAUAUUCGGAGGAACACCGGUGGCGAAGGCGGCAACCUGGCUCGGUACUGACGCUGAGGCGCAAAAGCGUGGGGAGCAAACAGGAUUAGAUACCCGGGUAGUC
rnacentral:rRNA from 1 species